CUCAAGAUGGCUGUGCCUGUCAGCUGCAUGGAGCUUCGUUCAAGUAUUUUCUGAGCCUGAUGGAUUUACAGUGAUCUUCAGUGGUCUGGGGAAUAACGCUGGUGGAACCAUGCACUGGAAUGACACACGCCCGGCACAUUUCAGGAUACUAAAAGUGGUUUUAAGGGAGGCUGUGGCUGAAUGCCUCAUGGAUUCUUACAGCUUGGAUGUCCAUGGGGGACGAAGGACUGCAGCUGGCUGAGAGGGUUGAGAUCUCUGUUUACUUAGAUCUCUGCCAACUUCCUUUGGGUCUCCCUAUGGAAUGUAAGACCCCGACUCUUCCUGGUGAAGCAUCUGAUGCACGUUCCAUCCGGCGCUCAGCUGGGCUUGAGCUGACCAUACUCCCUGGAGCCUUCUCCCGAGGUGCGCGGGUGACCUUGGCACAUACAGCCAUCAUGAUGGUACUUUAAGUGGAGGCUGAAUCAUCUCCCCUUUGAGCUGCUUGGCACGUGGCUCCCUUGGUGUUCCCCUUUUACUGCCAGGACACUGAGAUUUGGAGAGAAUCCUGUUACACCUGGGAUUUAGGCACUUUCAAUCUGAAAAAAUACAUAUCCUUUCAGCACUCUGGACGGACUUGAGAACUGUCCUUACGUGACCUAAAGCUGGAGUAUUUUGAGAUUGGAGAAUUAAGGUUUUUUGCAUGUCUGACACCCAUGACUCCACCUGGACCUUAUGGCUCCACCCAGAAGCAAUUCAGCCCAACAGGAGGACAGCUUCAACCCAUUACGAUUUCAUCUCUGCCCCAACCACUCAGCAGCAAGCACCUGUUACCUGUCCACCCCCACCCCUUCCCCCAAACUGCCUUUGAAAAAUCCCUAACCUAUGAGCUUUGAAUAAGAUGAGUACGAACUUCAUCGCCCACGUGGCGUGGCCGGCCUCGUGUCUAUUAAAUUCUUUUUCUACUA
rnacentral:lncRNA from 1 species